UCCGAUAUGGUCUAGUGGCUAGGAUUUGCCGCUCUCAUCUGCAGAGUCAGUUCACUGUAUAGUGCCGGCAAGGCCCGGGUUCGAUUCCCGGUGUCGGAA
rnacentral:tRNA from 1 species